rnacentral:tRNA from 1 species
AGGGAUUUAGCUUAGUGGCAUAAGCGCCUGCCUGGCAAACAUGAGGUUGUGAGUUUAAUCCCUA